UUAAGCGACUAAGCGUACACGGUGGAUGCCCUGGCAGUCAGAGGCGAUGAAGGACGUGCUAAUCUGCGAAAAGCGUCGGUAAGGUGAUAUGAACCGUUAUAACCGGCGAUGUCCGAAUGGGGAAACCCAGUGCAAUUCGUUGCACUAUCGUUAACUGAAUACAUAGGUUAACGAGGCGAACCGGGGGAACUGAAACAUCUAAGUACCCCGAGGAAAAGAAAUCAACCGAGAUUCCCCCAGUAGCGGCGAGCGAACGGGGAGCAGCCCAGAGUCUGAAUCAGCUUGUGUGUUAGUGGAACGGUCUGGAAAGUCCGACGGUACAGGGUGAUAGUCCCGUACACCAAAAUGCACAGGCUGUGAACUCGAAGAGUAGGGCGGGACACGUGGUAUCCUGUCUGAAUAUGGGGGGACCAUCCUCCAAGGCUAAAUACUCCUGACUGACCGAUAGUGAACCAGUACCGUGAGGGAAAGGCGAAAAGAACCCCGGCGAGGGGAGUGAAAAAGAACCUGAAACCGUGUACGUACAAGCAGUGGGAGCACCUUCGGGUGUGACUGCGUACCUUUUGUAUAAUGGGUCAGCGACUUAUAUUCUGUAGCAAGGUUAACCGUAUAGGGGAGCCGCAGGGAAACCGAGUCUUAACUGGGCGUUAAGUUGCAGGGUAUAGACCCGAAACCCGGUGAUCUAGCCAUGGGCAGGUUGAAGGUUGGGUAACACUAACUGGAGGACCGAACCGACUAAUGUUGAAAAAUUAGCGGAUGACUUGUGGCUGGGGGUGAAAGGCCAAUCAAACCGGGAGAUAGCUGGUUCUCCCCGAAAGCUAUUUAGGUAGCGCCUCGUGAACUCAUCUUCGGGGGUAGAGCACUGUUUCGGCUAGGGGGUCAUCCCGACUUACCAACCCGAUGCAAACUACGAAUACCGAAGAAUGUUAUCACGGGAGACACACGGCGGGUGCUAACGUCCGUCGUGAAGAGGGAAACAACCCAGACCGCCAGCUAAGGUCCCAAAGUCAUGGUUAAGUGGGAAACGAUGUGGGAAGGCACAGACAGCCAGGAUGUUGGCUUAGAAGCAGCCAUCAUUUAAAGAAAGCGUAAUAGCUCACUGGUCGAGUCGGCCUGCGCGGAAGAUGUAACGGGGCUAAACCAUGCACCGAAGCUGCGGCAGCGACACUAUGUGUUGUUGGGUAGGGGAGCGUUCUGUAAGCCUGCGAAGGUGUGCUGUGAGGCAUGCUGGAGGUAUCAGAAGUGCGAAUGCUGACAUAAGUAACGAUAAAGCGGGUGAAAAGCCCGCUCGCCGGAAGACCAAGGGUUCCUGUCCAACGUUAAUCGGGGCAGGGUGAGUCGACCCCUAAGGCGAGGCCGAAAGGCGUAGUCGAUGGGAAACAGGUUAAUAUUCCUGUACUUGGUGUUACUGCGAAGGGGGGACGGAGAAGGCUAUGUUAGCCGGGCGACGGUUGUCCCGGUUUAAGCAUGUAGGCUGAUUGUCCAGGCAAAUCCGGAUAAUCAAGGCUGAGGUGUGAUGACGAGGCACUACGGUGCUGAAGUAACAAAUGCCCUGCUUCCAGGAAAAGCCUCUAAGCAUCAGGUAACAUUAAAUCGUACCCCAAACCGACACAGGUGGUCAGGUAGAGAAUACCAAGGCGCUUGAGAGAACUCGGGUGAAGGAACUAGGCAAAAUGGUGCCGUAACUUCGGGAGAAGGCACGCUGGUGUGUAGGUGAAGUCCCUGCGGAUGGAGCUGAGACCAGUCGAAGAUACCAGCUGGCUGCAACUGUUUAUUAAAAACACAGCACUGUGCAAACACGAAAGUGGACGUAUACGGUGUGACGCCUGCCCGGUGCCGGAAGGUUAAUUGAUGGGGUUAUCCGUAAGGAGAAGCUCUUGAUCGAAGCCCCGGUAAACGGCGGCCGUAACUAUAACGGUCCUAAGGUAGCGAAAUUCCUUGUCGGGUAAGUUCCGACCUGCACGAAUGGCGUAAUGAUGGCCAGGCUGUCUCCACCCGAGACUCAGUGAAAUUGAACUCGCUGUGAAGAUGCAGUGUACCCGCGGCAAGACGGAAAGACCCCGUGAACCUUUACUAUAGCUUGACACUGAACAUUGAGCCUUGAUGUGUAGGAUAGGUGGGAGGCUUUGAAGCGUGGACGCCAGUCUGCGUGGAGCCAACCUUGAAAUACCACCCUUUAAUGUUUGAUGUUCUAACGUUGGCCCCUGACCGGGGUUGCGGACAGUGUCUGGUGGGUAGUUUGACUGGGGCGGUCUCCUCCCAAAGCGUAACGGAGGAGCACGAAGGUUAGCUAAUCCUGGUCGGACAUCAGGAGGUUAGUGCAAUGGCAUAAGCUAGCUUGACUGCGAGCGUGACGGCGCGAGCAGGUGCGAAAGCAGGUCAUAGUGAUCCGGUGGUUCUGAAUGGAAGGGCCAUCGCUCAACGGAUAAAAGGUACUCCGGGGAUAACAGGCUGAUACCGCCCAAGAGUUCAUAUCGACGGCGGUGUUUGGCACCUCGAUGUCGGCUCAUCACAUCCUGGGGCUGAAGUAGGUCCCA
rnacentral:rRNA from 1 species